rnacentral:rRNA from 1 species
AUACGAAGGGUGCAAGCGUUAAUCGGAAUUACUGGGCGUAAAGCGCGCGUAGGCGGUUUGUUAAGUCAGAUGUGAAAGCCCCAGGCUCAACCUGGGAACUGCAUUUGAAACUGGCAGGCUAGAGUGUGGUAGAGGGAAGUGGAAUUUCAGGUGUAGCGGUGAAAUGCGUAGAUAUCUGAAGGAACAUCAGUGGCGAAGGCGACUUCCUGGACCAACACUGACGCUGAGGUGCGAAAGCGUGGGUAGCAAACAGGAUUAGAUACCCUAGUAGUCC